UACGAAGGGGGCUAGCGUUGCUCGGAAUUACUGGGCGUAAAGCGCACGUAGGCGGCUUCUUAAGUCGGUGGUGAAAUCCUGGAGCUCAACUCCAGAACUGCCUCGAUACUGGGAGCUCGAGUCCGGGAGAGGUGAGUGGAACUGCGAGUGUAGAGGUGAAAUUCGUAGAUAUUCGCAAGAACACCAGUGGCGGAAGGCGGCUCACUGGCCCGGUACUGACGCUGAGGUGGCGAAAGCGUGGGGAGCAAACAGG
rnacentral:rRNA from 1 species